UGAAGCUAAAAAUACCACCAUUAGUAAAUUAGAUCACUUAUUACAUUUAUAUUGUAAAUACUGACUUCAAAUUUCUAUAAUUCCUUCAACCGAGCUUAAAAUUCAUUAAGUAAUAUACAGAAAGUGUAGCCAAAAAAAUAAUUUUUUUAAUCUCAUUUGUUAAUCCUUCAUUGCUUUUCAAACGCACACAUUAUGUUUAGAAGAGUGAAGUAGGUACAAAAUCAACACCUUAACUUUAAGCACCUAUUACUCCUUGAUCAAAACUUUCAAUUAUUCAAAAAUUUUCCAAAAUCAUAGCCAAAAUCUUGGACUUGCUAAUCUCAAUUUCUAAAGUUUGAAUGGCCUCAAAAGAGUAACCCUAAUUCUUAAUUAGGCCUUACAUAACCUCCUUGAAGCCAUUGAGCAUGCCUUUUUGCUAAAAGCGAUCAAGAUUUUUAUCAUCUAUCUUUAUUCAUCCAUAUAGAUGUCGUAACUAUUCUUUU
rnacentral:lncRNA from 1 species